rnacentral:rRNA from 1 species
UACGUAGGGUGCAAGCGUUAAUCGGAAUUACUGGGCGUAAAGUGUGCGCAGGCGGUUUUGUAAGCCAGAUGUGAAAUCCCCGAGCUUAACUUGGGAACUGCAUUUGGGACUGCAAGGCUAGAGUACGGCAGAGGGGGGUAGAAUUCCUGGUGUAGCAGUGAAAUGCGUAGAUAUCAGGAGGAAUACCGAUGGCGAAGGCAGCCCCCUGGGUCGAUACUGACGCUCAUGCACGAAAGCGUGGGGAGCAAACAGG